AUAUCCCUGCUGUGCGCGUGCUUUAAGCUGGUUUAACACGAACCAACACUUCGAAAAAGGGAGCCUAACUUUAGGUGUGGAUACAGCACGCUCCUUUAACAAGGAGAAGCGAGGAAGCAUCUAAGAGGGCACCCACCUUGAAAAACGGGUUCGAAAGCGUGGCCGGUUUAACACGACAAUAGCGGGGAUUUU
rnacentral:other from 1 species